AGCGCCGUAGCUCAAGGAAAGAGCGCAGGGUCUCGGCCCUGAGGUUGUCGGUUCAAGUCCGACCGGCACUU
rnacentral:tRNA from 1 species